GAUGAACGCUGGCGGCGUGCCUAAUACAUGCAAGUCGAGCGAACGGACGAGAAGCUUGCUUCUCUGAUGUUAGCGGCGGACGGGUGAGUAACACGUGGAUAACCUACCUAUAAGACUGGGAUAACUUCGGGAAACCGGAGCUAAUACCGGAUAAUAUUUUGAACCGCAUGGUUCAAAAGUGAAAGACGGUCUUGCUGUCACUUAUAGAUGGAUCCGCGCUGCAUUAGCUAGUUGGUAAGGUAACGGCUUACCAAGGCAACGAUGCAUAGCCGACCUGAGAGGGUGAUCGGCCACACUGGAACUGAGGCACGGUCCAGACUCCUACGGGAGGCAGCAGUAGGGAAUCUUCCGCAAUGGGCGAAAGCCUGACGGAGCAACGCCGCGUGAGUGAUGAAGGUCUUCGGAUCGUAAAACUCUGUUAUUAGGGAAGAACAUAUGUGUAAGUAACUGUGCACAUCUUGACGGUACCUAAUCAGAAAGCCACGGCUAACUACGU
rnacentral:rRNA from 1 species